GGGCACCGGAGCUCCGGCGACGGUGAGCUACUCCGCCGCUACAGCCCAGGUCGGAAGCUUCUUCUCCGACGAGGUGAUCUUCUCUCCCUCGAGGCCCCGACGCGAGAACCAAGACUUCAUCGCGUUGAUCUACCGUGCUGUUGAUUUACUGGAAUGGCAUUUCAGAUUGGGGAAAUAAUUUCAUAGCUCUUGCAGCGCUCUGGAUACUGCGAUCUUGCAGAUUGCAAAGGUUGCAGUAUAUAUGGGAAGAGAGGAAUGCAGGAAGGAAUGAAAGCUUAGGGCAUAUGCUCCCCUUUUGGCCAACAAAAGUGUGGCAUCUGCCAGUCAGAACUCUCUGUUUAUCACCAAUCAAAUGCUAUGUGUGUGUUAGUAUUAUCCGGUGUUGUUUAUAUCUUACAGAAAGAUAGAGUUCAUGCCUGCUAUGAAGAAUGGGCUUCGCAAGUGAAUCUGAUAAAAGUACUAGGCUUAAUGUUUACAUUUUUCCAGCAUAGUUCUUUGCAGGAAU